rnacentral:rRNA from 1 species
UACGGAGGGUGCGAGCGUUGUCCGGAAUCACUGGGCGUAAAGGGCGCGUAGGCGGCUUGGCAAGUCGAUGGUGAAAGCCCGAGGCUCAACUUCGGGUCGGCCACUGAUACUGCUAGGCUUGAGUCGACUAGAGGCAGAUGGAAUUCCGGGUGUAGCGGUGGAAUGCGUAGAGAUCCGGAAGAACACCGGUGGCGAAGGCGGUCUGCUGGGGUCGAACUGACGCUGAGGCGCGACAGCGUGGGGAGCAAACAGG